rnacentral:rRNA from 1 species
UAGGGAAUCUUGCGCAAUGGGCGAAAGCCUGACGCAGCAACGCCGCGUGGGGGAUGAAGGCUCUCGGGUUGUAAACCCCUUUCAGCAGGGACGAUUAUGACGGUACCUGCAGAAGAAGGACCGGCCAACUACGUGCCAGCAGCCGCGGUAAUACGUAGGGUCCGAGCGUUGUCCGGAUUUAUUGGGCGUAAAGAGCUCGUAGGCGGCUCAGUGAGUCGGAUGUGAAAACUCGGGGCUCAACCCCGAGACGCCAUCCGAUACUGCUGUGGCUUGAAUCUGGUAGGGGAGAUCGGAAUUCCUGGUGUAGCGGUGAAAUGCGCAGAUAUCAGGAGGAACACCGGUGGCGAAGGCGGAUCUCUGGGCCAGUAUUGACGCUGAGGAGCGAAAGCGUGGGUAGCAAACAGGAUUAGAUACCCGCGUAGUCCCUGAGCGGGCUGGCAAGGCGCAU